AGAUGUUUGUUAUCCAGUCUAAGGUUGCAUAAAUCAAAGAUUAAUUCAUUCAGCCAGAUCAUCAUUCAUUAAGCAUUUAUUGAGUACAUACGAUUUACAAGUUAUGCAUAGCCAUUGCCUACCUUAUGUUUACAAUCUAGUUGGGAAAAUGGGAUAUACACACAAAAUAACAUUAGUAGAUAAUAAGAAAGCACUAUAUACUAAUACAAUAAAGUGCUAAAUUAUAUAAUAAAAGCAACUAGAAAAUAACAAUGUCAUAGUAACAAUAAUAGCAUGAAUACAAUGUUUUAUAGUAUAUGAAGCUUUUCCUUCUCUCAAAAUAAUGCUAUAAGAUACAACAGGAUAAUAUAUAAUAAGGUGCUAAUCGUGCAGUACAGGCAUCCUAACAUGAUGUUAGAGAUGCAUCAACAAGGAAACAAUUCUACUCAAAUCAAAAAUUAAACAUUGAUUAAGCAAUAUAGUAGCAUUUAUAUAGCAGAACAAUUUGCUUGGUAGAUUAGACAGAUAGUUCUUUGCCCUCAAGAAGUUUACAAUAAAGAUAUGAUACAAAUGCAAAUAACUAUGAUUUUUUAAAAAGACAGCAAGAAUUGUGAAAGAAGUGAAAACAAAGUGCCAUGUGAGGUACUACGAGGGAAAGAUGUUUUCUCUCAAUUUAACAAACACUGAUUAAGCACCUACUCUGUGCAAUUUAUUAAAUGCCUACUAUGUGCAAUAUUUGAAAGCACCUACUCCGUGCAAUGUUUAUUAUUAAGUACCUACUAUGUGCAAACCAUUAAGCGCAUACUACAUUGCCACAUGCAAAAGCUAGAAAGGAAGGCUUUCUCAACUAUAUUCCAUAUUGAUUAGGCCUUAUUCAGAGGUGAAAAAUUACUUUUUUUGUGUGGGCCUUUAUUUUGAAGAAGCAUGAGAACAUGAGAACAGCACCGGGUUUGUUUGUUUGUUUGUUUUAAAAGAUGAUGGGCCUUGUUUAGUCUGGAGAAGAAAAUGCUGAGGAAUAAUUUGUUCUUGAAAUUGAAAUUUAGGAAGAUGUAUUUCACAAAUCUACAUCUCCAUUUUGAAGAAGAAUAUGAAGGGAACUGGUUUGAGGAUAUUUAGAACAAAAAACAAUGUUAUCAACAAUUAAGUUUGUAAAACAUUGUGAAAAAAGUUUUUCCGAGAGGUUAUAAGGCCUCUUGCCCAAUAAGAUGAAAAAGGACUGGGAUGGUUUAGAUGCUGUCUUCUCCUGAAGUAGGACUAUUUAACAUAGCUGAGCUCAUAGAACUUAGAUCUCGGGAAACUUCAGUUGAACAUUGACAUGCCAAAGUCUCCCAAUUCCAUUUUUCUAGGCUCCCAAUGAAAUGAAUAGUCCCAAAGCAUUCGUUUAUGCCAGUCCAACAAAAUUUUGGAAUUCUCAACACUUGAAUUUUGUCAUCUGUAAAAUGGGGGAGUAUCAAAAAUAAUUCCUGUUAAAUUGAAUUAGGUGAGGUAAAUAUACUUUGUAGCAAAGAAAUGGAAACAACCCACCCAUGCUCGUGAAUCUAAAAAUAUGGCAAAACAAAUCAGUGUUAAUACUAUGCUAAUAAAAUUGAACUAAAACAAAGGUUGCAUUGUGUUGAAAUAAAAGAUGUAUUAUAUCCGGGGAAAAAAUGACUAUAAAGAUGAACACCAUUUAAAGAUUUAUAUGAGAUAAAUACAGGUGAAUUUAGCAGAAGUUUGGGGAAAUGAAAAGAUGGGAGGAAAAAAACAAAAGAUAAACCUGAAUUAAGAUAAUUGAAAACAACAAAAACAAUUCUAGAGGUGAAAGAAUGAAAUAUGCCUCCAAUAUUGUCAUAAGAGAAUGAGGAACUUGUGAGGCUAUUGGAAUUACUGUAACAUUUGAAACAGAUUGUACAAUUUUAACUACUAUUACUACAAAUCAGAUAUUUUUUAUUACUCAAAAAGGAAAAUGAAAAAGAAAAUAGAUAAAUAUUUGAACUAUUCAAAAUUGCUUUUCUUUUCUUUUUUCUUUUUCUUUUUUUUGGAAACAAAGCGGUUUUAAUCACUUGCCCACAGUCACAGAUCUGGUAAGAUCAGCCACAUUGGGACACAGAUUCUCCCGAGUCCUAGGGACUGGUUCUAUGCCAAAACAAUGCAAAUUUUAAAAAAUAUUUGUUAAGCAUUUAUCAUCAACCUGAUCAUUUUAACCAAUGAGUAAGGCAGUGACAUAAAAUUAGAAAGUUAACAGCUUAUUAUAUUUAAGUAUGAAAAGGCAUGGUUCAAUGGGACUAAAAGAAAAAGGCCAAAUUAUAAGAAUGAGAUAAUAGAUAAAUGCCAGAAACUUCAAACAACAAUCAAAAUUAAUGAAGAAAAAAGAGUAAUUAAAGGAAGUAACAUUUAGUGGAAAAUAUCAUAAUGAAAAAUUAAUUCAUAACCUUAAAAAGAUAGGCAACACAAAAAUUUGCUUGAAAAAUGAAGUUGCAAUGAAAGAACUUAGGUAACAGUGAGUUUCCUUCUUAAAGGGUAUCAGGAAAGAGCAACUUCCAUUAGCCUUCAACCCAGUGCUCCUUCACCCUUGCCCUGAGUAAAAAGGAUGCCCUGAGUAACCAACUAUUGGAAAGAAAUCAGGAAUCCUGCCACUGGGAAAUGGCUGACCAAUCUAUAGCCAUACACUGCUGAAAUAGAAAACAUGUCUCCAACACUGGGCUGCAAGGUGAGACAUUACGGGUACAUGGUGGUAUUUAUCCUGUCAGACAGGGUUCCCUUUUCAAUGACUAUUGGAAGAGUGAAUUUCCUUUGCUAUGGGGCUAGGUCAAGAAAUAUCACACAUGGGGCAGAGAACCCUGUAGAGUCCUUGAUGAUAAUGGCAUGGAAGCCCCAUGUAACAGAGAAGUGGGUACAAAUCUGAGGGCCCUAUAGGUGAAGAAUGGCUGACAAGACUUUAUCUCUGCUCUGAGUAUUAUGUGAUUGGAGCAAAAGAGCAACAAGACUAUUGCAUGAGGUAUUGGAGUAUGCAAGAGGAUAGUGAGAUAGCUGAUUAGCAAGUAUCCCUGCUGCUCCAGGUGGGCAGAGAGGUUUACAGGUACAAUGUGGCACCUUCCCCAGCAAUGAAAGGUGGUUUGUGGUUGCAGUGAGUCUACUUGGCUACAGGGUCCCAAAAAGGAACAAUAUCCAUUGGCCUGCAAUACAAUGCUCCUUCAGCUUUGCCCUUGGUGGAAAGAAUGCUCUGAUUGGCCAAGUAUUAGAAAGAAACCAGGGGCCCUGCCUCUGGGAAGUGGCUGUCAACCUACAGCCAUAUAAAACUGAAAUCCUGGCCACUGACCAAUAGAAAGGAAAGACCUGCCCUCUGACUGAAUAUCAAGACCCUCCUUGGUCUCAGAGAGCAAGAUAGCUUGUUGGGCCCCAUCUCUGGGGUCAGAGUGGGGCCCUCUGGGUGAACUGCUGCUUCCCCUGGCAGACCAGGGCAGCAUGGAACUGACUGGUGACCCAACGUCUGGUUUUUUACUGUGGAGCAAAUGCCAGGAGGACUGACAUGAAGCUGGGGUAUGAUGCUCAUUCUAACUUGGUCCCACUGUAAGGCCAGUUCUUACUAGCAAUGGCAAACAAACAGGGACAACCUUCCUAUGGAGAAUAGCAGAUGAAUCCUUAAUCAUACACUGGCAGAAGGCUUGGAAUAGAAAUGCUGAGAAAAGUCUUUUCCUCUAAGUAGAAAUCAUGACCCUGUUUGGUCUCCAGAGAAUAAGUGAGUUUGCAAACCUCAGUGCUUAGGGGUGAGUAUCUAUGAAUGAAAAGGGAUAACUCCCAAGGCAGAGAGGCUCCCAUUUGAACUGGCUCUGCAUUAAGUGAUUUUAAGAUCUAGAAGGCCUAGGAAAGGAGCAAAAGAGGUGGGGGUGGUAUUCCAUAUACAUUAAACCUGAAAGCCAGUAGACUAGAAGCCCUUCCUGCCAGAGAAUGGGUAGGAAAUAGAAACAAGGCCUUUAUCUGUGAUUGGAAGGGCUAACAAAUGAGGGUCUAUGCAGUGGAUUUUGUUUCUCUCUCACUGUGUCUCUUCAAGCUCCAUAGCUGUACCCCUGGGCUGUGAGGUGAGGCACUACGGUGCAUGAUGGAGUUUACCCUGGAACACAGGGUUACCUUGUUGGAUGGCUGUGGAAAUAGUGAAUUUUCUUUGCCAUGGGACUGUCACCGACAAUAUUCCACAUGGCCAAGGAAACCAUAUGGAAUUCCCCUUGAUUAUGGUGGCAUGUAAGCCCCAUAUUACAAAGAAGUGGCUACAAACUGGGGACCCUACAGGAGAAAAAUAAAUGAGAAACCUUUAUCAGUACACUGAGGGACAGAGUAGGAGGCCAAUGAACAGUUUAAGAAAGCCUGCACAGAAAUUAAAAUGGAGAAGAGGAUAUUAGAAAAGGGGGCAAAAGUCAAGUCCCCAUACCUGGGCUAUGAGGUGAGGCAGUCUGGUGUAUCAUAGUAUUUACCCUGGCAGUCAAGGUAACCUUUUUGGAUCAUUGUGGGAAUCGUGCAUUUCUUUGCAAUAGGACUUGGACCAAUAGGAUUCCACAUGGGGCAGAGAACCAUGUGGAAUACCCAUUGGUAAGGAUGGGAUAUCAAGUCCAUAAACCAAAGAAGUAUUACAAACCUGGAACCCUAUGGGGCACAUAUUUAGCCUAUACUGAGGGGAUAGUGUUGGGGACCAAUGUACAGUGUAAGAAAGCCUGUGCAGAAAUCAAGUGCAAGAAUAGUAUAUUAGAAAAGAGAACUAAAGUCAAGUCCCCACCCCUGGGCUGCAAGGUGAGGCACUACAGGUGCAUGAUGGUGUUUACCCUGGGAGACAGGGAAACCUUUUUGGAUCACUGUGGGAAAUGGGCAUUUUCUUUGCUAUGGGACUUGAACCAAUAGGAUUCCACAUGGGGCAGACAACCAUGUGGAAUCCCAAUUAGUAAAGGUGGGAUGUCAACUCCUUAUAACAAAGAAGUGGUUCCAAACUGAGAGCCUAUGGGUGAGAAUGAAUAAGAAACAUUGAGAACAUGCUGAGGGGAUAUUGUUAGAAAACAAUGAACAGAGUAAGAAAGACUGUGCAGAAAUCAAAAGUGAAAACAGGAUAUUAGAAAAGAGAGGUAAAGUCAAGACCCCAUUCCUGGGCUGCGAGGUGAGGCACUACAGAUGUAUCAUGGCAGUCAGGGUAAACUUUUUGGAUCACUAUGGGAAUUGUGCAUUUUCUUUACUAUGGGACUUGGACCAAUAAGAUUCCACAUGGGGCAGAGAACCGUGUGGAAUCCCCAUUGGUAAAGGUGGAAUGUCAAGACUAUAUAAGAAAGAAGUGGUUACAACCAGACCUAUGGGUGAGAAUGAAUGAGAAAUAUUUAGACCACACUGAGGGGCUAAUGUGGAGGUCCAAUGUACAGAAUAAGAAAAAACUUGCAGAAAUCAAGUGGAAGAAAAGCAUAUUAGAAAAGGGAGCUAAAAUGAAGACUCCAUCCCUGGGCUACAAAGUGAGGCACUACAGGUGCAUGAUGGUGUUUACCCUGGAGCACAGGGUUACCUUAUUGGAUGACUGUGGGAAGAGUGAAUUUUCUGUGCCAUAGGGCUGGCUCAAGGAUCAUCACACAUGGGGCAGACAACCAUGUGGAAUACCCCUGAGUACUGUUGGUAUGUCCAACCCAUAUAACAAAGAAGUGGUUACAAACCGGGGGCCCUACGGGAGAAAAAUGAAUGAGAACCCAUUAUCAGGAUACUGAGGGAACAGGGUUGGAAACCAAUGGACAUUUGAAGAAAGCCUAUGCAGAAAUCAAGAGAUAGAAUAGGAUAUUAGAAAAAGGAGCAAAAGUCAAGACCCCACCCCUGGGCUGCGAGGUGAGGCACUACAGGUGCAUGAUGGUGUUUACCCUGGAGCACAGGGUUACCUUAUUGGAUGACUGUGGGAAGAGUGAAUUUUCUGUGCCAUAGGGCUGGCUCAAGGAUCAUCACACAUGGGGCAGACAACCAUGUGGAAUACCCCUGAGUACUGUUGGUAUGUCGAACCCAUAUAACAAAGAAGUGGUUACAAACCGGGGGCCCUACGGGAGAAAAAUGAAUGAGAACCCAUUAUCAGGAUACUGAGGGAACAGGGUUGGAAACCAAUGGACAUUUGAAGAAAGCCUAUGCAGAAAUCAAGAGAUAGAAUAGGAUAUUAGAAAAAGGAGCAAAAGUCAAGACCCCACCCCUGGGCUGCGAGGUGAGGCACUACAGGUGCAUGAUGGUGUUUACCCUGGAGCACAGGGUUACCUUAUUGGAUGACUGUGGGAAGAGUGAAUUUUCUGUGCCAUAGGGCUGGCUCAAGGAUCAUCACACAUGGGGCAGACAACCAUGUGGAAUACCCCUGAGUACUGUUGGUAUGUCGAACCCAUAUAACAAAGAAGUGGUUACAAACCGGGGGCCCUACGGGAGAAAAAUGAAUGAGAACCCAUUAUCAGGAUACUGAGGGAACAGGGUUGGAAACCAAUGGACAUUUGAAGAAAGCCUAUGCAGAAAUCAAGAGAUAGAAUAGGAUAUUAGAAAAAGGAGCAAAAGUCAAGACCCCACCCCUGGGCUGCGAGGUGAGGCACUACAGGGGCAUGAUGGUGUUUACCCUGGAGCACAGGGUUACCUUAUUGGAUGACUGUGGGAAGAGUGAAUUUUCUGUGCCAUAGGGCUGGCUCAAGGAUCAUCACACAUGGGGCAGACAACCAUGUGGAAUACCCUUGAGUACUGUUGGUAUGUCAAACCCAUAUAACAAAGAAGUGGUUACAAACCGGGGGCCCUACAGUUGGAGAAUGAAUGAGAAACCUUUACAGGACUCUGAGGGUAAGGUGUUGGAUGCAAUAAACAAUAAGAAAGCCUUUGCUGUUACAAACCAUACAGGGAAUAGCCAAGAUAUUUGAAAAUUGAGAAGAAAGCAAGACCCCACCCCUGGGCUGCGAGGUGAGGCACUACAGGUGCAUGAUGGUGUUUACCCUGGAGCACAGGGUUACCUUAUUGGAUGACUGUGGGAAGAGUGAAUUUUCUGUGCCAUAGGGCUGGCUCAAGGAUCAUCACACAUGGGGCAGACAACCAUGUGGAAUACCCCUGAGUACUGUUGGUAUGUCGAACCCAUAUAACAAAGAAGUGGUUACAAACCGGGGGCCCUACGGGAGAAAAAUGAAUGAGAACCCAUUAUCAGGAUACUGAGGGAACAGGGUUGGAAACCAAUGGACAUUUGAAGAAAGCCUAUGCAGAAAUCAAGAGAUAGAAUAGGAUAUUAGAAAAAGGAGCAAAAGUCAAGACCCCACCCCUGGGCUGCGAGGUGAGGCACUACAGGUGCAUGAUGGUGUUUACCCUAGAGUACAGGGUUACCUUAUUGGAUGACUGUGGGAAGAGUGAAUUUUCUGUGCCAUAGGGCUGGCUCAAGGAUCAUCACACAUCGGGCAGAGAACAAUGUGGAAUACCCCUGAGUACUGUUGGUAUGUUGAACCCAUAUAACAAAGAAGUGGUUACAAACUGGGAGUCCUACAGGUGGAGAAUGAAUGAGAAAUCUUUACAGGACACUGGGUGUAAAGUGUUGGAUGCUAAUAAGCAUAAUAAUAAAGCCUGUUUUGCUUGAAACCAUACAGGGAAUAGCAAAGAUGCUUGAAAAUUGAGAAGAAAUAAAGACCUUACCUCUGGGCUGUGAAGUGAUGCAUUGUGGGAUGCCUGAUGGACUUUAUCAUGAUAGCAUUCCUUUUUGGAUGACUGUUGGAAUAGUGAAUUUUCUUUCCUAUUAGGCUGAAACCAGUAGCAUUCCACAUGGGACAGACAACCAUGUAGACUCUCCCUUUAUCCUGUUAAAAUGCAAGGCUCUGCCUUCAAGAAGUAAAUUAGUGACUGGUGUUGAAAAAUGGCUGAGAAACCUUUGUACUCUGAGGAUUAAGUGAUUAGGGCAAAAGAACAACAAAAGUUAUUGUUGAGGUAUUACAAUAUGUUAUAUAAAUAGCUAAUUAGAAUCCCUGCAGUCCCAGCUGAGCAGAGAGAUAGGGGAGUCUAGAUGCAGUGUGGCACCUUUUUUCAGAAAUCUCAUGUGGUUUGGGGUUGCAGUGAGUCUUCUUGGCUACAGGGUCUCAACAAGGAGCUACUUCCCUUGAUCUACAAUUCAGUGCUCCUUCACCCUUGCCCUGGAUGGAAAGGAUGCUCUGAUUGGCCAAGUAUUAGAAAGAAACCAGGGGCCCUGCCUCUGGGAAGUAGCUGUCAACCUAUAGUCAUAUAGUGCUGAAAUCCUGGUCACUGACCAAUAGAAAGGAAAGACCUGCCCUCUGACUGAAUAUCAAGACCCUCCUUGGUCUCAGAGAGCAAGAUAGCUUGUUGGGCCCCAUCUCUGGGGUCAGAGUGGGGCCCUCUGGGUGAACUGCUGCUUCCCCUGGCAGACCAGGGCAGCAUGGAACUGACUGGUGGUGACUCAAUGUCUGGUCUUUGCUAUGGGGCCAAUGCCAGGAGGACUGACAUGGAGUUGAGGCACCAUAUUCAUUUUUCUCUGGGUUAAUUGGAUUUUAAUAGAAAGCCCAGAUAAGGAGCAGAGGUGUUGGAGGUGAUUUCUGAUGGCCAUUCGACCUGCAUGCCUUUAGAAUGGAAGCUCUCCAUUCCCAAGAAUGGGUACAUAACCUACCUAUUUUCUUUUCUGUGAUUGGAAUUGCUAACCAACCAGGGUCUGUGCAGAGAAUUUUGUUUCUGUCUGCAUGUGGAGAGGUGGAAAUGUUGUUUAUGCUGUGUGUGUGUGUGCUAGAGAGAGAGAUAGAGAGAGAGAGACAGAGACAGACAGAGAGAGAUAGAGAGACAGAGACAGAGGAGAGGAGAGGAGAGAAGAGGAGAGGAGAGGAGAGAAGAAAGAUGGAAAGGGGGAGAGAGAGAGAAAGAGACAGAGGAAGAGAGAGACAGAGACAGAGAGACAAAGACAGACAGAGAGACAAAGAGAUUCCCAUAGAUAGGCAUAGGGACAGAGCCAGAAAGAAUGAGAGACAGAAAGACAGAGAGAGACAGAGACAGAAAGAGGGGAAAGAGACAGACACAGACAGAAGGAGAGAGAGUUAGAGACAAGAGACAGAGAGAGCAUUAAGUAUAGAGGAAUGAUACCUGAAAACUAAAACUACUCUUUUUAGCCUGAGAUUGUGUGAACAUUAAGUGUAAAAUAAUCUUUAGAAGAAAACAUGCCUUUAAUCCCAGACUAAGAGGGACCCUGGGUACUCUUAAAUACAGGCUUCCCUUUUAUCUGGCUCUUUGAAAAGUGGAUUUUCUUUGGUAGAGGGCUUCCUCAAAGAGCACCAAAUAUGAAAACCGACUGCAGUAUUGUUUGGCUCUUCAUUCAGGCAAAAUGGAAGCCCUGUUUUACAACAAUACCGAAAGAAACCAGGGGCCCUGCAUAUGGAGAUUUAUCUCUACUCUGAGGAUUCUGUAAUAUGGAUAAAAGAGCAAAAGGCAUGGGGUUCUGCCUGAGUCAUUAGCGUGACCAGUAGUAGCACAUAGAGACAGCUGAUUAGGAUAGCUUCUGCCCCCAGCUGAGCAGAAUGGUAGGGGUAUCCCAAAUGCAGUGAUGUUGCACCUCCCCUUGUAUUUUCUCCUUUAAUUUCCAUGGAAUGGAAGAUCAUUACAUGAAGAAAUGGAAAGAAACUCUUGGAUAAUUUGAGGUAGAAUGACUGAGAAACCUUCGUCUCUAUAUUGACGAGUGAGUCAUAGAGGUAGGAGAGUUUUUAGAGGAAGCCUUUAAAUGAUAUAUUAAAGUUAGUAAUAUGGUAGUGAAGGAAGUGUUUAGUAUACCUGCUUCCUGGUUCUUGCUUUAUUUGUGGGCGACAUGAGGUUCAAUAAAGCUUACCCUUUAAAACAGGGUUACUGUUCCCCUUGUUAUUUUUGAAGUGCAUUUUAUUAGCUAGAGAAUUAAUUCAAGGUACAUUAUAUAUGAAUUCAGCCUUUUUUUCAUUUUUUCUUGAACUAGACUUAAUAGAAUACCCUCAGUAUUAAGGAGACAAAUUCUCUCUAUUGACUUACUAUGUUUAUUUUUGUUUGAUAAAUAUUACUAGGGGUGGGAUAUUUCAUUGUUUUUAAUUAUCAAUAUGGUUUUCUGUGAAUAAAUCAGGAAUUACUUUUUCUUCUGUGUCCAGAGAGCUAAGACAGUAUGAAUCCAAAUAAUGUCUGCUCUUUCAGACAUGGUCACUUUUUGCUUAGUUGCGGAUUAAUUUUUUUCUCUUUUAUUCAUGUUCAAGGUGUCUCUAGCAUAAAAUGUAGACAACCAUGCUCAUUUUACUUUUUUAUAUCAUAAUUAAAACAAUAGCUAUCCUCAUUGUGGAAUGGAGCUGAAGGUCCUACAACUGAAUAAUUCUCAGUAGCCAAUUUUUAUUGUCUCCACAGUGGUUGCUUAAGGAAAGGAAAAAACAGCUUUCUAUGUAAGUAAUGAUAACGACCUCUAGUUACCAAAAGAGUAACCUAUUUGUAUGUUAUAGAACAAGUCAAAAGUAGCAAGGAUUCCUCCUUUAAAAUGACAACUGGGUUUCGGUAAUUUUAAAUUUUGGUGCCUAUUCACUCAUAUGGGUUCCCUUUACUUAUAAUCUUUUCUCAUACCUUUUUUUUAUUUUAAUUUUAAUUUUUUUGCUAAAGGAUUGGUUUGUGUUGAUACUUGUAUGGUACCCAUGCUCCUCCUGCCUGAAUCAAGUUAUUAUUAAUAUAUCCUCAGUCUUAGAAGUUGAAACAAAUCAAUAAGCCUUUCAGAUGAGGUAUGAUUGACAGAUUUUUGACCAUAUACUGACUAGUAUUGAAAAGGAAAAAAGAAUGAAGAAUUCCUUAUCUGUAUAUUUACAAAGAACAAUUUAGAUUCUAAAAAGUAAAUUACAAAACAUGGUAUCUUCUCUGUUGAGAGUCAGGUGGAUUUUGGUUCACUUUUUUCCUAAAACUAGUGUCAGUUCAGUGAAUAUAGUAAAUAUGUAAAGGAAGAAGACAUUUUGAGGAAGCCUUUCUCUAUGAUUAUAACUUAAUAUUACUUUAUAAGAAGAAUAUGUAAAGGUCAGGAAUUUUGAGAAUCCCUAAAAGAUUUUUAAUAAAUUUAUAUGAAGAAAAUUAGUCUAAAAUAAAAAUAUAUUUACCACUUAAAGUAAUGUAUAAGUAAAAAGAAGGUAAAUGCUGAAUAAUUUUCAGGACCAUCCCCCCCACAAUAGGUAUUGAACCAUGCCUUUCUCUUUUGGUCUUAGAGUUUGGGCUCUACAAUUUCAUUCUUUUUACAUUCGUUGCCUGACAGGGUCACCCUUUGGGUUGUUGUUGCUUCAGUUUUUCUUUGCUACAAGGCAUGUUCAUGGUGGAUUUCCAGUGGGGACGACCAUACCUGCUCUUUCUACCUUUUUAUAGGUGCUGUCAAUAUACUUUGUAGUAAAGAAUUGGAACAACCCGGGUGCCUUCCCCUAGAGGAAUGGGUGAGUAAAUCAUGUCCUCACGUACGAACGUAACAUAUUAUUGUACAGGAAUAAAGAAUUAAUAUUAGGAAAUGAAGAAACAUUUAAAGACUUCUUUGAAUUUAUGAGUGAAGUAAGCUCAAUCUGGAGCAGAUUAUAUACAAUGACUACAAUUAUCUAAGUGAAAAAAAAAACAAACAUUAAAAAGAAGAUAACUUCUAGCUAACUGUAAUGACCUGUUUUGAUUAUAGAAAGCAGGUAAUGCAUUCUGCUUCCCCUCCUUGGGAUGAGAGAUUUGAAUGUAUGGCCACACAUUAUUACUUACAUUAUUAGCCAGGGUGACCUUGGAGUUGGUAAUGCCUAACCAUUUUUGUUUACGACAAGGCAGAUUUAGUGUGGAACUGCAACGUUCUGAUCAUAUCUUUUCACCUAAUAAGGCAGUUAUAUAUUUUUUAUCAAAGAACUGAAAAUAAACUAGGUGCCCUUCACUCAGGGAAUGACUGAAUAAAAUGUUUUUCAGUACCCAUGUAAUAUAUUAUUAUGUCAUUUGAAAGGACAUGUGAGGAAUUCAGAGAAAUAUGAGAAGGCCUAUAUAAACUGAUGCAACAAGCAAGCAUAUUCAAGAGAAUAAUAUAUAUACAUAUAAAAGUAUAUACAAUAAAUGAAAAGAAUGAAAAAAGGAACCCAAACUCUGCAUAUAGUUAGAAUGACUCUUCUUGGUUCCAAAGACCAGAUAAUGAAAUGUGCCUUCUUCUCUUGGCUGAAAUUUGGGCAACUAUGGGUACAGCAUGUUGCAUUCCCUCUCUGAGUCACCAAAUUAGUGGCUACUGUUUGUUUUUCUUUGUUACAAUGAAUUGUUUGAUGCUAAAACAGAACAAGAUUGACUAUUCCUGCUUCUUCUACCUUGAAGUAGGUGUUGCUCAUAGGCAUGAGCUUGAUGCAUUCCCUGGAUGAAAGAAACUGAAUACAAGUUGCAAUACUAUUGGUACAUACAACAAAACCCCUAUAUAAUGCUGGUGUUAUAAAGGAAGGAUAGGCUAAAACCAACAGUAUAAAGGUAAGAGGGCACCAAGCUAAUAUUUAAGUUCUAUACUACCAUAUUCAGCCAGAUUUUUGCCCAUUUCUGGUGUUAGGAGACAUGGUUUGAUUUGCAAUUUUUAAAAUAAUGAGCUCUUGUAUAAUGGGUUCUGUCCUUGUUGCAAUCAUCAGAUUGCCUUUCAGGGCCAGAGAAGGGCCCUUUUCUGGCUAGGAGAACUUCCUGUUCCUCCCUCUGAUCCCCUGCCACUCAUACCCCUAGCCUAAGAAAUCUUGCUGCCUUUGCAGCCACCUGGAAAGUCACACAUGCUGGUGUCACAAUAUUCCCAAAGAAGGGCAAGAAUCAAGUCUCUAAUUGCAGAGGCUUGGUUACGGGAGCCUUGGGUCACAUUCCAGCCAGUGCCUUUUCAAGCACAGCCUCUGAACAAAUUGGAAAGUCCUUCCAAAAAAGAGCUCAACCAGGGAAGAGUGAGCAAAGAGGAGGAGGGAAGAGGGAGAAAGGGAGAUCUCCAGCUGUCAGCAGUCAGACAGCAGUGGCAAGCUUGGUGCCGCUGGAGAGAUUUUUUUUUUAAUCUCCCUACAAAGUGAUCCCCUUCCAUUAUGCUGAAAUCUAAGAAAAGCCCUUUGCCCAUGGACUUUCCUUUCUAUUAUGGCCCAGCUUUGCCCCUCACACCUCCUAAAUGCUGGAACAUAUCACAGAAUAUUCUGAAAUAUGUCCCUUAUUAUAAAAUCUGAGACUCUCAGGCCAGACUCUUGUGCAGUGCCAUGGGUCUGUUUUACAAGAAGCAUCUUACAAAAUUUCCCACAGCAAUUCUCUAAAGACCCACUUCUAAGUUUAUAUAAGGGUUAUAACAUUUGUUGGGAAUACCCACAAUAUACUUGAAGUGUUUAAGUAAAGACUUAGAUAUGGGAAGGACUUUUGAAAUGAUCUUAUCCGUCCUCCCACUCUAUCAUAUUGCUGAGGGAUGGGUGGAUGGAGGGGGAGCUUCUCUGAGCCUCUGUUUGAAUGCUUAGUGUCAGAAAGCUCACACUCCCUUCUGAGGCUUACUGAUCCAUUGCAGGACAAGAUCAUUGUUGCUUCUUGUACUAGUCAACAAUUUUUCUCCCUGUGACUUCCACAGAAUGGCACACAGUUACACGGCAUAAUCUUCCCCAAAAUCAUUUUCUCUCCAUUGUUCAUUCCUCUCUAGCUACCAAGGAAGGAAUUAAUCCCAAAGGGGAAUACAGUUCAGCAAUGUCAAAAAUUCUAAAGGCUGAAGUGUUUAUGACUUCCCUAAGGUCUAGAAGAAAGCAUUUUACUUUUAGGACCUUAACCAAAGAAAUACUAACCCAGCCUUAAAAAAUAAUAACAAUAAGUACCAACCCAAGAGAACUAUGUUUCUAGCCCAAUACUAGACUACAUUCACCCUGGGAGCUACAAAGACAUAUAAAGCACAUUCCCGGCCCUCAACACAACCUCAAGCUCACCAUUUGGCAAGGGAGCCCAGGCUCAAACAUAGAUUAAGCUGAGUAACAAUAUAAGACAACAACAGAAGAACACUCACUGGACAAUAUAUGAUGUGAGUGCCAACUAAACAAUACAGUACAAACAAAUGCUGUUUGAGUUCACAAGAGGGAGAGGUCCCCUGAAACUGUAGAAUCAGGGAAGGCUUCAUGGAGAAUGUUGGGCUUAAGUUGAGCCUUUGAAAGAUGACAGGGUUCAAGUCUCAUCUCCUCUGUGAAGCUCAAUUCAAAUGUCCCUCUUCAGAAGUCUCACUGUGGUGUGGAGAAGGUGACUGGGAAUCCUUGAAGUCUGUGCUUCGGGGGUAGGGGAACAAGCUUUGCCAGGACGGGCCAAGGAUGGACCGUUGCAUGAGGAUCAGCCAAGCUAAGUUCAUAAAGACUUAGGGCCAGGUCGGCCUCAUGGAGAUGAAAGUUUUUGGAAACAAUACCCCUCAAAGAACAUCGGCUAAGCCACAGAGGGAAUUAAAAUCUGUCUCAGUGGAAGGAGUUCCCACACCAGUAAAACUACAGAUCCUUGAAGUGUUGAAUCAUUUGAAAGAUGGGAGAUGGGGUUGGAAAAGGUAGUAUGGCACUAGAAUGUAGCCACCAGCCUAAGGAAUCUGGAAUUGAUGCUAUUAGGAACAGGGAACCCCUGGAAAGUCUUUGAACAGGGAAGUGACAUAACAAAUGAAAUCAGUAGUCUAGUGACAGCUCUGGCAUAAUCCCUCCCUCUCCCUGAGCAACCGACUCUUUAACAGGCUUCACUCAGCCAUCCUAAGAGGGAGUUCAGCCUACAGUGUCUGUGGCUCCAUAACCCCUUCAGGAGCAUACCUGGAGCCACUCGGAGCCAAUGCUCCGUUAGGCACAAUGGUUUCUAGGAGCCAAUGCCCCAUUAAGCACAAUCGUUUAUAGGAGCCAAUGCCCCAUUAAGUACAAUGGUUUCCAGGAGCCAAUGCUCCAUUGAGGAAAAUGGUCUUGGGCCAAAAAAUAGGGUGUGGCUCUCUGGAGAGACCACAUUGCUCCAUGGUUCUUAUUAUUUUCCCUGCCUGGCAGCUCUCUGAGCCCAGAGUAUCAGUUAUUCCAAAGCUGCUCACACAGUUUGGACAAAAUGAUCUCUCUCUGUUUUUUCCUCCCUAGAAAUGCCAGGAAAUCAAAUGCUUUAGAUCAAGGUACAUGUAUUAUUUGCAAGCCUUGGGAUGCUUGCUUCUACAAUGUAGCUAAUUAGUAGAACAGGAGCUCAGGCCAGUUUGCCCUCAAGGCCUCAGUUUCACCAGCUGCAAAUUUACAAAGUAGGACCAGAAUAUCUCUAAGGUCCCUUCAAAAGAAUCUUGGACUUGAAAUCAGCAGACUGAGUUCAAAUCUCAUCUUUGCCUCUCUUGUGAUUUUAGGCAAGUACUUCCCAAGAUGAAUUCUCCAUCUGUUGUGAGAAGGAGGACUGGAUAGUCUUUUAAGAACAACAGAAAGUUCUCUAACUCUGAGGUGUGAUGACCCUAUUUCAGGCCAUAUUCUCCUGAGGGGGUACAGAAAUCAUCCCUCAUAUUGUCAGGGUAGAAAUCAUCUGCUAAGUUUUUGUAGGAUUGUAGGGAUGCUUCCCCAAAUCCCCCUUAUAUUUCUUGUCCUCCUUUUGAUCUUCUCUCAAGACCCCAGAUGAGCUAAGGCUAUGUACACUAGGUACUGAUUAACACAACGAAGGGGUUUUACAGCAGAGUAUUUGACCGACCUUUGUAACCAUCUUUGAAGAAUAUUCUUCCAAUUGGGCUUCUGCUUCCAUUUCCGCUUCCGCUUCUUUUUCCUCUUUCUUUUUCUUUUUCUUUUACGCAUCCUGAUCUGGAUGAUCUGGUCUCUCUCACAUUGUUGACUUGCUUCUGGUCCUGAAAGGAAAAGGACAAAAUCAUCAAAGCAAAGUCUAACUGCUUUUCUU
rnacentral:lncRNA from 1 species